rnacentral:rRNA from 1 species
AUUGAACGCUGGCGGCAGGCUUAACACAUGCAAGUCGAGCGAGCGGCGGACGGGUGAGUAAUGUCUGGGAAACUGCCUGAUGGAGGGGGAUAACUACUGGAAACGGUAGCUAAUACCGCAUACCAUCAGCUGUGCCCAGAUGGGAUUAGCUAGUAGGUGGGGUAAUGUCUCACCUCGGCGACGAUCCCUAGCUGGUUUGAGAGGAUGCCCAGCCACACUGUAACUGAGACACGGGCGAGACUCCUACGUGAGGUAGCAGUGGGUAAUAUUGCACAAUGGGCGCAAGCCUGAUGCAGCCAUGCCGCGUGUGUGAAGAAGGCCUUCGGGUUGUAAAGCACUUUCAGCGAGGAGGCGUGACGCGCAGAAGAAGCACCGGCUAACUCCGUGACAGCAGCCGCGGUAAUUC